UCUAUACUAUGUGAAUCAUCGAAUCUUUGAACGCACUUUGCACCUCGCGGCUCCUGUCACGAGGUAUACUUGUUUGAGCAUCCGUAACCUCUCACCUCUCCCUCGGGGCGGUGGACGCUGAGAUUCGACGAGCAGCAGCGAGUCGUCUCUUGAAAGCCAUGGCCUGCUCGUGGAAGGUCUCCACUCUGACCUGACCGACCAUUUGGAUAAUGUCCUACAAUUGUCGGCUCGGUGUCAAUAUGCGUGUUGACCGACCUUGGCCACCCUGAUCAAUGAGCUCCAGCACCACGCUGCGGCUUUGCGAUCAAUUACCUUGUAACUGGAUCUCAAAUCAAGUAAGGAUACCCGCUGAACUUAAGCAUAUCAAUAAGCGGAGG
rnacentral:rRNA from 1 species